rnacentral:rRNA from 1 species
AACGAACGCUGGCGGCAGGCCUAACACAUGCAAGUCGAACGCCCUAGCAAUAGGGAGUGGCAGACGGGUGAGUAACACGUGGGAACCUUCCCUAUAGUAUGGAAUAGCCCAGGGAAACUUGGAGUAAUACCGUAUACGCCCGAGAGGGGAAAGAUUUAUCGCUAUAGGAUGGGCCCGCGUAGGAUUAGCUAGUUGGUGAGGUAAUGGCUCACCAAGGCGACGAUCCUUAGCUGGUCUGAGAGGACGACCAGCUACACUGGGACUGAGACACGGCCCAGACUCCUACGGGAGGCAGCAGUGGGGAAUAUUGCACAAUGGGCGAAAGCCUGAUGCAGCGACGCCGCGUGGAGGAUUAAGGAUUUCGGUCUGUAAACUCCUGUCAGUAGGGAAGAGAAUGGACGGUACCUACUGAGGAAGCUUCGGCUAACUACGUGCCAGCAGCCGCGGUAAU